AUACGGAAGGUCCGGGCGUUAUCCGGAUUUAUUGGGUUUAAAGGGAGCGCAGGCGGAGAUGCAAGCGUGACGUCAAAUUUCGGGGCUCAACCCCGUCUCGCGUCGCGAACUGCGUCCCUUGGUUGCGGGAAGGGGAGGCGGAACUCGUGGUGUAGCGGUGAAAUGCAUAGAUAUCACGAAGAACUCCGAUCGCGAAGGCAGCCUUCCGGCCCGUCAACGACGCUCAUGCUCGAAGGUGCGGGUAUCAAACAGGAGUAGAUACCCUGGUAGUCCGCACAGUAAACGAUGGACACCCGCGGUUUGGCCUAUAUGGCUGAGCCGCCAAGCGAAAGCGUUAAGUGUCCCACCUGGGGAGUACGCCGGCAGCGGUGAAACUCAAAUGAAUUGGCGGGG
rnacentral:rRNA from 1 species